GCGAUCAUGGAUGCCGGACAUUCAUCGCGCCUUGCGGGCGCCAGGUGGGGACCGGUCCGCCUCGGUUCCAACCCGCGUGGGCACGC
rnacentral:tRNA from 1 species